GUCCGUACAUAACAAAUGGAUAUGUAUUAAAAAAAAAUCCUAAGUCGACAUGUAAUACAUACGACGCUUCUCCUAGAUUUCAGGACGCAUCACAAUUAUUCAUAGAACAUUCAACAUUUAUAUCGAAGUUAAAAGUUAGGUAGUGAAAAUGAACAAUGCAUUUCAGAACAACAACGAAACAUAUUUAAUCAAUGCCCAGUGCAAAUGUUUCAUGAAUAUUCAUUCUUAUAAUAAAUAUCAACUUAAUACGUCGGUUCAGCAAAAAUAGACCACAUAAAAAA
rnacentral:lncRNA from 1 species